rnacentral:rRNA from 1 species
UGACGGUAUCUAACCAGAAAGCCACGGCUAACUACGUGCCAGCAGCCGCGGUAAUACGUAGGUGGCAAGCGUUGUCCGGAUUUAUUGGGCGUAAAGGGAACGCAGGCGGUUUUUUAAGUCUGAUGUGAAAGCCUUCGGCUCAACCGAAGAAUUGCAUUGGAAACUGGAAGACUUGAGUGCAGAAGAGGAGAGUGGAACUCCAUGUGUAGCGGUGGAAUGCGUAGAUAUAUGGAAGAACACCAGUGGCGAAAGCGGCUCUCUGGUCUGUAACUGACGCUGAGGUUCGAAAGCGUGGGUAGCAAACAGGAUUAGAUACCCUG